CCGAUGGUGACAUCCCCGCGGAUCUCGCUCUCCACACACACCACGGCUCCCGGUGCGAUCUUCACACUGCGGAGGGGCACACAGCGUCCGGCACUUCCUGGUGACAAGGCAGACUCCCAGAAGCACCAGCACCAGCAGCAUGACGGCAGCAAACGCGCUCCCGAGGGAAGCACCUGUCUGCGAUAAGGAGGCUGCGAUCACAGCUUCCUCCAUCUCCAAGAUCAGCGACUUCAUGUUGGUGCCGUUCUUGACCUGAUCGCCCUCGUUGUCAUAGAUUAAGGAGUCAUCCAGCAUCAGUCUCCCAUUGCUGUCAAUCAGGUCCCUGCGGCCACGCUUCAAGUGCUUGGACCUGUCUGCCUGGUACUUCCAAAAAGCCACAGCAUUUAGCUUCUCAUUCGUUGGUAGACAACCCUUUGUUUGCUGUAGGAAGAACAAAUCCAAAGCAGAUGCAGAGGACAGCACUGCAAGCAAAUUAUUUUGGACUAAUAUUCAUUCUCACCUCUGAACUUGGCCUGGGUCUUGAACUCUAUAACCAGUCGACCAUCCUCACGGAUGUAGAUCCUGAUUAUCUGCAGCCGGGCUGAGAGGACGCUGUCUGUCUGAAUCCCUGUGUGGUACAGCAAGAGCAGAGUCAGUGGGGAGGACAAAGGAGCACAGCAGACCUCAAGUGGUGUCGGUCAGCUCUAGGUAGCUCCAGAAGCAUCUUGAGAGAGCUCCAAGAAGGCACAGUUUGCCUGAGAUCAUCCUCCAGGUGAGUCAGCUGUACACUUCCAGAUACAGUAGGAAAGAAAAACAAAUGAGCUGGAAAUAGAAGAUUCACAGGCAAAGGAUAAACCAUAAAUAUACACAGUGAUGUUAGGUCUUGGAUGUCACCAGCAGCAGAGGACAGGCUCGGUAUGGGACCCACCACUGGCAGUACUGUGGUUAUGAUGCGGAAAAGUCAACCUGUGAGAGCCAGGAGGCUGAGGAUCACAACUGCAGCUCCCACAUGAAAAUCAGUGGAAAGCAUUGGAGAAAACAUGCCAUAUGUCCCAUGGGGAGCAACCUCUGCCUGGCUGCAGAGGCUCCAGGGAACACAGAGCUCUUGUCCUGCAGCAUCUCAGUGACGACUUCCCAUUAACAGAUGCUGGGGAAACGACAACUCCUUUACUAAGCUUUCAUAAAUGCAAGCACAACUGGACUGAUGCUGCAUGCUACCCAGACUCGGAACUACAGUGACAGUGCAGAAACUAAGAAAAAGGGAAAACUGAGAGGAAAACAAUAGUGCUGCACACUGUCAGGUGCCUUGGACGUACCUGUUCUCCAGAGAACAGUGUCGUAGAAAAAGGAGAACUCCAUCUCUGUGUGGUGCUCAAGGGAAGCCCAACCUCUUGGUGCUGUCACAUAAAUGUAGGACACAUAGAGGGGGACGUGGACUGUUAGGAAGGACUGAGCAGAGUCCCGGACCUGUCAACAGAACCCAAGUAGGUGAUUAUGCACUGUCUCAAAGGAGAGACGCUGGCCUGGACUUGCAGCACCCUCUUGUUUACAUUCUGCUUCGCAAAUGAGGAAAAAAAGCCAAAAUGUCUGCAACAAAAGACUCCUACUUGGUAGAGGUGAGAUGAGACCAAGCACACUGGUAUAGGGAGAGGCAAAUCUUUUUCCCUUGCUUUUAAUGCCUGAACUAUUUGCUGCAGGAAUAAAACAUCUGCAUCCACAUUACAGACUGGAGCCUAAUGGGAUGAGAUACAAACACACAGGGGAUGGCAGCAUGGAGCCCCGCAUACCAUGUACCUCUGUAUCUUCCUUGGUACCCCUGUGUCACACAAACUCUGUGGCGCAGAUGCAGCCAGACUGGGGAAUGUUACUCUCACACAGUAGGAAUGUUUUUUAAAAGCUUUAUGAAUCUGAGUGUUUUCCAGGCUGCUCCCACUAACUGAACAACCAUCAAGCAAGCACUGUUACUUCACUACUGAGAGCAGAAUUUCACAAGGGGCUCAACAAAGCUCCUGGGUUCUCUGCUCCUACUGUGGACCCAAAGUUAAGCAGGACCUUCUGACUGUGGGAACCCUCACAGGCUUCUAGAAAGAGGAAGAAAGCUUGAGUCCAGGAUCAGCUAGAAGUCUAUGCAUCAGCUUUUUUGUAGACACCCCCUCCAAUGCGUGGAUUUGAAUAUCUGCAAUGGACAUGAAAUUAAAAUGCCUACAGUGUUUCUGGGAAAUUAGAGGCAUGCAAGUUGUUCCAGAGUCACUACAAUGCAUUACAUUUGCAUUAAAAACAAUAAAUUUAUUUGCAAAAAAUUUAUCACUAGAUGGUAAUUUGUAAAAUAAUAAGAAACUGCUGGGGAAGAAGUACAUGCAGCUUUGACUGAAGUGCCUUCGUUUGAAAUAAGAGCAAGUGCUUAAGCACACUGCUGUCCUUAAUGCACCUAACAAAGGGAGCUGUGGUCACAGCUUUACCCUGAAAAGAGUUUCCAAUUCCAUGAAUUAAAAUGAAGCAAUUCUGCUUUCUCAGAACUGCUCUAAGAGCACUUGAAACACCACAGGUCUUUGGCUCUGAAUGCAGCAUUUAUCAUCUGUGGGGCAUAGCUGUACUGCGCCAGCCCACAGAGAGCGCAGGGAGCCAUUCCAGACUGGUUGGUGCCAGUCUCCACAUACUACGUUACACAGUUGCUCGGUUUAAGGAGCUUCUCUGGAUUUGUGUAAAUAACUGGAGCUAUAAAAGGGAAGUUAAAAUAUUCCAGACCAACAGGAAUUAAAAUAGAUUGUGUUGGCCAUAACGCCCUGACUGGAAAUUCAACACAAGAAUCUAAUGCAGAUGAGACUCAUUUGAGUGAGAUGGACAUUUACAAUCUGUCCAUGAGAGGGCAGUGAAACACAUCUUUGUCAUGAAAGCUGCUAUUUUACUAGAGAGCAUUUCUGGCUUUUGCUGUGAUGGUAAUUAAUUAAGGAAUUACUUAACAUUUUCAAUGGCUUCUCUCCACUGAACACAGUCUCUGCUCUGUUCUUUGCUCAUUCCCAUGGGUGAAGAAUAUGGUAACAGUUGUAAAAGAAUACAAUGCAGAUCUCCAUGUUUUGUAUUUCUAGGAUAUCCUUAUGUUAAGAAAAAAGCACUCUAAAGAGUAAAAGAAUAAAGCUUGUGUUAUCCCAAUCAAAAUAAAUGAAUUAUGUGUAUUUCACAAA